AUGAAUGCCAUCUUGGCAGGUAUCAAUGGUGAGAUCGAGCGCGCGGCCUUGCCGCAGAGAGAAGACCGGAGGGGUCAAAGGACGGCCAUAAAUUUGAGCCAGUGGAUCGGCGAGAAUUGCCCUGAUUUGUCCAAGUGGGCGCAGGCUCACGACACCGGGGCUCGGUAUGGAAUAAUGACCAGCAACAUGUCAGAGGUGUACAAUGGUGUUCUUAAAGGGGUGAGAGCCUUGCCUAUCAUAGCCCUAAUUGAAGAAACUUGGAACCGGACACUCUCAUACUUUGCAGACAGGGUUACCGUGGCUAAA
rnacentral:rRNA from 1 species